rnacentral:rRNA from 2 species
UACGGAGGAUGCGAGCGUUAUCCGGAUUUAUUGGGUUUAAAGGGUGCGUAGGCGGGACCUUAAGUCAGCGGUAAAAUUGCGGUGCUCAACGCCGUAGAGCCGUUGAAACUGGGGUUCUUGAGUGAGCGAGAAGUAUGCGGAAUGCGUGGUGUAGCGGUGAAAUGCAUAGAUAUCACGCAGAACCCCGAUUGCGAAGGCAGCAUACCGGCGCUCAACUGACGCUGAGGCACGAAAGUGCGGGUAUCGAACAGG